rnacentral:rRNA from 1 species
CUUUGAUUCUGGCUCAGGACGAACGCUGGCGGCGCGCCUAACACAUGCAAGUCGAACGGAGCUGAGAGGAGCUUGCAUUUCUUAGCUUAGUGGCGAACGGGUGAGUAACGCGUGAGUAACCUGCCCUGGAGUGGGGGACAACAGUUGGAAACGACUGCUAAUACCGCAUAAGCCCACGAUCCGGCAUCGGAUUGAGGGAAAAGGAUUUAUUCGCUUCAGGAUGGACUCGCGUCCAAUUAGCUAGUUGGUGAGGUAACGGCCCACCAAGGCGACGAUUGGUAGCCGGACUGAGAGGUUGAACGGCCACAUUGGGACUGAGACACGGCCCAGACUCCUACGGGAGGCAGCAGUGGGGGAUAUUGCACAAUGGGGGAAACCCUGAUGCAGCGACGCCGCGUGGAGGAAGAAGGUUUUCGGAUUGUAAACUCCUGUCGUUAGGGACGAUAAUGACGGUACCUAACAAGAAAGCACCGGCUAACUACGUGCCAGCAGCCGCGGUAAAACGUAGGGUGCAAGCGUUGUCCGGAAUUACUGGGUGUAAGGGAGCGCAGGCGGACCGGCAAGUUGGAAGUGAAAACUAUGGGCUCAACCCAUAAAUUGCUUUCAAAACUGCUGGCCUUGAGUAGUGCAGAGGUAGGUGGAAUUCCCGGUGUAGCGGUGGAAUGCGUAGAUAUCGGGAGGAACACCAGUGGCGAAGGCGACCUACUGGGCACCAACUGACGCUGAGGCUCGAAAGCAUGGGUAGCAAACAGGAUUAGAUACCCUGGUAGUCCAUGCCGUAACGAUGAUUACUAGGUGUUGGAGGAUUGACCCCUUCAGUACCGCAGUUAACACAAUAAGUAAUCCACCUGGGGAGUACG